AUUGAACGCUGGCGGCAGGCCUAACACAUGCAAGUCGAACGCGUGGCGGACGGGUGAGUCAUGUCUGGGAAACUGCCCGAUGGAGGGGGAUAACUCCUGGAAACGGUAGCUAAUACCGCAUACCAUCGGAUGUGCCCAGAUGGGAUUAGCGAGUAGGUGGGGUAACGGCUCACCUAGGCGACGAUCCCUAGCUGGUCUGAGAGGAUGACCGACCACACUGGAACUGAGACACGGUCCAGACUCCUACGGGAGGCAGCAGUAGGGAAUAUUGCGCAAUGGGCGCAAGCCUGAUGCAGCCAUGCCGCGUGUAUGAAGAAGGCCUUCGGGUUGUAAAGUACUGUCAGCGAGGAGGCGUUACUCGCAGAGGAAGCACCGGCUAACUCCGUGCCAGCAGCCGCGGUAAUUC
rnacentral:rRNA from 1 species